rnacentral:rRNA from 1 species
AGUGAGAGUGGCGCACGGGUGCGUAACGCGUAUGCAACCAACCCUCAUCCGGGGGACAGCCGGUGGAAACGCCGGGUAAUACCCCAUGCCGAUUCCUGUGGGCAUCCACGGGGAUUGAAAGACUUCGGUCGGAGGAGGACGGGCAUGCCGUCCCAUUAGCUAGUCGGCGGGGUGACGGCCCACCGAGGCGACGAUGGGUAGGGGAUCUGAGAGGACGGUCCCCCACACUGGUACUGGAGUACACGGACCAGACUCCUACGGGAGGCAGCAGUAAGGAAUAUUGGGCAAUGGGGGGAACCCUGACCCAGCCCAUUGCCGCGUAGAGGGAAGUAGGCCCUACGGGUCGUGAACCUCUUUUGUCCAGGGACAAGGACGGGGUCGGGAACUCCGUUUGAGGGUACUGGAAGAAUAAGCAUCGGCUAACUCCGUGCCAGCCGCGGC